CGCCAUUUUGAUGAGAAUGACAUAAAAGAGGGACUGAAGUAUUAAACGUGUUUCAUCCGUUUAAACGAUGGGUUUUGAAGGAAGGAGCCAUUCCGAGAUAUUUCCUUACACCCAAUGAAACUUCCCGACAACCAUUACAAAGCAUUUGCAAUGUGAAUAGGAGAAACAAUUCAAUAGCAAACCCUACUGUCGAUGAAAAGUGCAGGAAGCAUCCAAAUAAAGAAAGAUAUGCCUUUGCGAAGAAGAGCAGCCUAAAUAAAAAGAUUUCUGAUGAUUUGGCCACCCCCAUGGAAGUCGUUCCAGAUGAGAACCUUUCAGUUGAAAAACAGUUACCAGCUAUGGCUAAACAACCUGCAUUAGUAGUCGUAGAAACAAUACCGUCACUACCA